rnacentral:rRNA from 1 species
GCUAGCGGCAGGCUUAACACAUGCAAGUCGAGGGGUAACAGGAGUAGCUUGCUACUUGCUGACGACCGGCGCACGGGUGCGUAACGCGUAUACAAUCUACCUUAUACUGGAGAAUAGCCCAGAGAAAUUUGGAUUAAUGCUCCAUAAUAUUUUCAAAUCGCAUGAUUUGAAUCUUAAAGUUCCGGCGGUAUAAGAUGAGUAUGCGUGAUAUUAGCUAGUUGGUAAGGUAACGGCUUACCAAGGCAACGAUAUCUAGGGGGUCUGAGAGGACUAUCCCCCACACUGGUACUGAGACACGGACCAGACUCCUACGGGAGGCAGCAGUGAGGAAUAUUGGGCAAUGGAGGCAACUCUGACCCAGCCAUGCCGCGUGAAGGAAGAAGGCCUUAUGGGUUGUAAAGUUCUUUUAUUUGCGAAGAGCCCUUGAUCCGGU